GUUUUAAGGGUGACUUGCAUUGUUGGAUAUCCUUUCACCCCUUUUAUGAAUGAAAUGUAAAGCCUGACAAAA